rnacentral:lncRNA from 1 species
CGACAAGUUUAGGUAACAUGAUAGUAGGGCUGAUUGGAAACUAGUUAAUUCUUUAGUGUUUGCAAUGGUACGCGGAAGGGCGUUCCACUCGUUUAUGGACAAAACCAAAGGAGAGUGUAAGUAUUUUUUAGUGCGAGCAAAUAGUGGACGUAUCUUGUUAUCGUGGCCACAUCGGGCUGAAAUGUUU